AAGGCCUCGCUCGCGAACCAGUCCUAACCAAAAUCUAGCAGCGAGUUGAUGCCGGUAAAGCAUUUAAGGUUCAACCCCUAAUUCCCCCCAAAACUACUAAACCAAGUAUGUAACCUUGUUGUUAAGCAUCACAUACUGUUAAAUCCAACAAACUUCGUUAACUAAGUUUGCAACGAUCUAGAAUGAGAGAUGCAGAAAGUUUGUUUAAGGAUGUAUGGAUGAUUUGUAAGAAAUGGAUCUCUUAGCAAAGCAGAUGGGGAUGAAGAGGAGGAGAAGGUGAAAACGCGUGCGUUGUUUAGCCCCCCCUCUCAUCUGAGAAAUUCAAAUUCUAAUUAACCCUUCACCAACCAAAGGAAAACAAACAAAGCCAAAUGUAAAGUCAAUCAAAUGGCUCUGAGGGUAGCGAGGUCGAACAAUGGGGAGCGGGGCAAACUAGGGAUUUCAGGUGUAGCGGGCUAAAGACAAGAGUACCUCCGCCAACCAAAAGCACCCCGCAGCGCACACUAGCAGUAACAGUAAGUAGGAUAGACGACUGAAAAGCAGUAGCAUGCGUAACGAAGUCCCGGGAAACUGCGGUAGAAAUGCGAUAAAAAAAAGUAUCAGACUACAUUAUAUGACAAGAAGAACGUAGCAAUCUUAUUUAUUGUACUAUCUAAAAAGUCUACAAUCUUCAUAGUGCCCAUGUUUGUUACACUCAUAGAAAGAAAGAAUUCCUUUCUUGAGGGUUUAUUUUUCUGUUUUUCGUUUUUUUUUUGUUUUAACAAGUGGAUACGUGCCUCGGCAGGUGUUUCGGUCCGUAUAGAAACGCGGGAGCCUUUGAUGUGAAAUUAGCCGCUUAUCGUUCAUUUUUUUUUUAUUGCUAACUCCAACUAUUCAUCGAUCAUGACAGUCAUCCGUCGAAUUCAUUUACCGGGCUAAUAGAAAGCCUUUUUUUAUUUUUAUUUUUUUUUUAAAGGGUUCUCUGGUUUACCUACUUUGGUUGAUAUGUGCGAUGGAAUUGCAAUGCCCUUAGACACACACACAUGUAUAAACUUUUUCAUCCUUUGCCAAGCUAAGUAACGCGGGCACACCCACCUUCGUUAAUUAAGAAACGAACUAUUAAUCAGUCAUGCAUGGAUCAUCGUCAUCUAAGAAUAUCGUAUUUACGAGCAACAUGCUACUUUGAAACGAGUGCUGAUAUUGCAGCAGUACCAGCUUAACGAGCUUGUCCCUUUAACAGGACGUUUAGUAUGAAAUCGUUGCGGUAGGAUACGUUACGUUGCGUCGCGCAAUCUUGCUAGUGCAAUGCGUUCCCAGAUUUCAAGUAAAAAAUCAAAACAAAAAUAAUCUUGAUCGAUAUGUGGUAACGAUAUUCGAUCGCUCUCAUGAAUCUCUUCUCCUUGAACCUUUUUCAAUCCUUCUUCUUGCCUUCCCGUCUCGGAUCUGACCUAAUUUACUAUUUACUUACUGGCAAAAUAUUCUACCCACUCCUCCUGUAUACUAUACUAAAGCCACCGAAAUCGGAUUUACUUUUCAGCAAAAUUAGCGCCUUCAAAAAUGUAGUGGGGAAACAUUUAUGUAUAUGAACGUGACAUUUUCUGGAAGCGAAAAUUUUUUGGGCACAAUAAGACAUGGGGCAUCUUUCAACGAGAGAAUCAUCGCUAUAUCAAUCUAAUUAUCGCCCCACCGAUAAAUAGUCUUUUGAACGAAAUACAAACAAUUAUCCUAUUAUCAACAGUCUUUCCUUUCACUUAUACAUUCUUUUUAACUUUGUAUAUUGACUCGGAUCGCAAGCAUAGUUUUGUCUCUUAAACUCCAUUACACCUUCUAAACAAAACUACUAUAUAACAUAGUACAAUUCUAAUUUUCCUUCUUCUUAUUUAUUAAUUUAUUUAUUAAAUUAUUUUGUAAACUUCUUCAUUCGCUUUCCUCAAUGGCUUUUGUAUUUGUAUAUUGGUAGAUUUGAAAUCAUUCGCUUCCUCAACCCAACAUCUUUCCAGCAUAUCAUCUUCGAUGAUCCCUAAACUCACUCCUUUAACUUAGCUUGUCUCUAGCUCGAAUUUUAGACCUUUAUCUUGCAUGAGAAUUGCUAUGACCUCUUUCUCUUUAUGAUUAUACUAUCUCUUUUCAUAUACUUCUUUUAGUGCAUGUUUUACCCGCCGCUUCUAAUAUCUCCUUUACUUCUUUCUCUACUUUAUCCCCACUUUACUUUAUCACCCCCUUCCUCCUACUUUACUCUAUCCAGUGUCUUUCACGAAAUCAUUGAUUCAUGCUAAUCGAAAAAAAGACUAAACAGCUACCAAAAAAAAUUGCAAUGGUAGUGUUUCCAGUCAAAUACUUCGAUAAAUGAAGUAAAAGAAGAACUGAUAGUAACUUACAACCACUUGUCUUCUUCAGGAGUCUUGUCUUUAAAGUGGUCGCCAAUGAAUGCGAUAGGCUGUCCCUUGUUAGUUGCAAUCUUUUACACUUGCUAAAUCAUACCUGAAGAAUAGUAGUCUUAACCUUAGGAACCUGCAUAGCAAAAACAAACACUUCAUAGCUUAUUAGUAUGCAUACGCACACAUUUUUUUAGUCAACUUACCGCCGGCUACGGCUGCAAAGGCCCAACGGGAAAAGGCAGGAAUACUAAAAUUUAAUGUUAAUAAUCAUAUAUUGAAGUUAGAUUCAGCAAUCCUACGUUUUCAUAGUUCUUUCAGGGGUGAUGAAAGAAAUGUGAGGUUGAACAUGAUACAUGGGCUUAUUGGGAAACUAAUCAUGUUAAAAUCAUCCUUUUUAACGAUAUAAACUUACGAAAGAAAUCAUUGUAACUAAUUUUCAACAAAAUGAGAGAGGAGGUCGAUGGAGUUAUUUUAUUGAGUCACCCACCUGAUAUAUAUCUUCCUAGCAAACUAUGAUAAGUUGCGUUACAUUCCGUUCUCCCCUAUUGGGUAUUAGAAAAUAUACUUCCCAAGCUGUGCUUCGAAUUUAAAUGGAUUUUAAACAGUUAACAUGAUUUUACAUACAAAC